ACAGACGGCAGGACGCCCUGACCGUGUCCACCAUGGCCUGGUCCCCUCUGCUCCUCACCCUGGUCGCUCUCUGCACAGGAUCCUGGGCCCAGGCUGUGCUGACUCAGCCGUCCUCCGUGUCCGGGUCCCUGGGCCAGAGGGUCUCCAUCACCUGCUCUGGAAGCAGCAGCAACAUCGGUAGAUAUGGUGUAGGCUGGUUCCAACAACUCCCAGGAUCAGGCCUCAGAACCGUCAUAUAUUAUAGUAGCAAUCGACCCUCGGGGGUCCCCGACCGAUUCUCUGGCUCCAGGUCUGGCAACACAGCCACCCUGACCAUCAGCUCGCUCCAGGCUGAGGACGAGGCCGAUUAUUACUGUACAGCUUAUGAUAGUAGUAGCAGCAAUGGCACAGUGCUCCAGGCCAGGGGGGAAGCGAGACAAAAACCUGCUCUCCCCCAAGUCACGGGCCUCCCGGGCUGA